ACAACGCUGGCGGCGUGCCUAAUACAUGCAAGUCGAGCGCAGGAAUCGACGGACCCUUCGGGGGGAAGUCGAYGGAAUGAGCGGCGGACGGGUGAGUAACACGUAAAGAACCUGCCCUCAGGUCUGGGAUAACCACGAGAAAUCGGGGCUAAUACCGGAUGGGUCAUCGGACCGCAUGGUCCGAGGAUGAAAGGCGCUUCGGCGUCGCCUGGGGAUGGCUUUGCGGUGCAUUAGCUAGUUGGUGGGGUAAUGGCCCACCAAGGCGACGAUGCAUAGCCGACCUGAGAGGGUGAUCGGCCACACUGGGACUGAGACACGGCCCAGACUCCUACGGGAGG
rnacentral:rRNA from 1 species